ensembl:rRNA 5S_rRNA 5S ribosomal RNA
GCUUAAGUGCCAUACCUUGAGCUCUGCUGAUGAAAACUGAUCCCAAAAGCUAAGCAGGGCUACGCCUGAUUAGUACAGGGACUGGACGCCAGCUGGGAAUACUGGGUUCCAUAGGCU